UAGGGAAUCUUCCGCAAUGGACGAAAGUCUGACGGAGCAACGCCGCGUGAGUGAAGAAGGAUUUCGGUUCGUAAAACUCUGUUGUUAGGGAAGAAAAAAUGUAUAGUAACUAUAUACAAAAGAGACGGUACCUAACCAGAAAGCCACGGCUAACUACGUGCCAGCAGCCGCGGUAAUACGUAGGUGGCAAGCGUUGUCCGGAAUUAUUGGGCGUAAAGCGCGCGCAGGUGGUUUAGAAAGUCUGAUUUGAAAGCCCACGGCUCAACCGUGGAGGGUCAUUGGAAACUAAUAAACUUGAGUGCAGGAGAGAAAAGUGGAAUUCCUAGUGUAGCGGUGAAAUGCGUAGAGAUUAGGAGGAACACCGGUGGCGAAAGCGGCUUUUUGGCCUGCAACUGACACUGAGGCGCGAAAGCGUGGGGAGCAAACAGG
rnacentral:rRNA from 1 species